CCUACGGGAGGCUGCAGUGGGGAAUAUUGGACAAUGGGCGAAAGCCUGAUCCAGCCAUGCCGCGUGUGUGAAGAAGGCCUUCGGGUUGUAAAGCACUUUCAGUGGGGAAGAAAGCCUUGGGGCUAAUACCCUCGAGGAAGGACAUCACCCACAGAAGAAGCACCGGCUAACUCCGUGCCAGCAGCCGCGGUAAUACGGAGGGUGCGAGCGUUAAUCGGAAUUACUGGGCGUAAAGCGCGCGUAGGCGGUCUGAUAAGCCGGUUGUGAAAGCCCCGGGCUCAACCUGGGAACGGCAUCCGGAACUGUCAGGCUAGAGUGCAGGAGAGGAAGGUAGAAUUCCCGGUGUAGCGGUGAAAUGCGUAGAGAUCGGGAGGAAUACCAGUGGCGAAGGAGGCCUUCUGGACUGACACUGACGCUGAGGUGCGAAAGCGUGGGUAGCAAACAGGAUUAGAUACCUUGUAGUC
rnacentral:rRNA from 1 species